GGGCCCGUGGCUUAGCUUGGCCAAAGCGUCUGACUGAUAAUCAGAAGAUCGUGAGUUCAAAUCUCACCGGGCCCACCA
rnacentral:tRNA from 1 species